rnacentral:rRNA from 1 species
CACGUAGGGGACGAGCGUUGUCCGGAUUCAUUGGGCGUAAAGCGCGCGUGAGGCGGCUCGGAAAGUCGGUCGUGAAAUGCCGGGGCUCAACCCCGGGACUGCGUCCGAUACUCCCGAGCUGGAGGCAGGUAGGGGAGAUCGGAAUUCCUGGUGUAGCGGUGAAAUGCGCAGAUAUCAGGAGGAACACCGGUGGCGAAGGCGGGUCUCUGGGCCGAUACUGACGCUGAGGAGCGAAAGCGUGGGGAGCGAACAGG